CAAUAGCGUAUAUUAAAGUUGUUGCAGUUAAUAAGCUCGUAGUUGGAUUUCUGGUGGGAGCGAUCGGUCUGGCGCUUAGCGCGAGUACUUGCAUCGUCUCCGGCCAUCCUUGGGGAGAGUCUGUCUGGCAUUAGGUUGUCGGGCAGAGGAUCCUCAUCGUUUACUGUGAAAAAAUUAGAGUGUUCAAAGCAGGCUUAUGCCGUUGAAUAUAUUAGCAUGGAAUAAUAAGAUAGGACUUUGGUACUAUUUUGUUGGUUUGCGCACCAAAGUAAUGAUUAAUAGGGACAGUUGGGGGUAUUCGUAUUCCGUUGUCAGAGGUGAAAUUCUUGGAUUUACGGAAGACGAACUACUGCGAAAGCAUUUACCAAGGAUGUUUUCAUUAA
rnacentral:rRNA from 1 species